rnacentral:rRNA from 1 species
UACAGAGGUCUCAAGCGUUGUUCGGAUUCAUUGGGCGUAAAGGGUGUGUAGGUGGCGCCGUAAGUCGGGUGUGAAAUUUCGGAGCUUAACUCCGAAACUGCAUUCGAUACUGCGGUGCUUGAGGACUGGAGAGGAGACUGGAAUUCAUGGUGUAGCAGUGAAAUGCGUAGAGAUCAUGAGGAAGACCAGUGGCGAAGGCGGGUCUCUGGACAGUUCCUGACACUGAGGGACGAAAGCUAGGGGAGCGAAUGGG